rnacentral:lncRNA from 1 species
GGGGUUUAUAUCCGCACAUCCAGGUGGUAGAACCACUUCUGUUUCAAAGAUGGACUGGGGAAAGACAUUAAGUUUGGAGCAGCUCAGUGCUACGGAUCUAGCCUCUCUCCCUCGGGUCUCCAGACUCACUUGGUCCAAGCUGCGGAGCAGGGACAGCGGAGCUCAGGCGGCCACGUUCAGGCCCAGCCACCAGUUCUCAGAACUUUCCUGGGACUAUUAUGUUUCUCCUUGGCUCAAGUGGUCACCUCUCAGAAAAAUGAUUCAUGGAAAAUUCAUAUCUAGAACCAGAGAGAAACCUACUCCCAGAAGAACAUCUCCCUGUAUUGCUUUCCCACUGCUGUGGAGUGUCUUGAACACUGGUCCCUGGACACCAACUUCAAGAAGACUUCAUGGAUGGCUGUCCAGUCUUAUGAGCCACAGUUUCCCCUCUACAUUUUCUUCACUCCAGCAAGGCUCUUAUCAGGGUCAGAUCAGAGAUGAACCAGCUGGACGACAGAUUGGAGCGCUGACCUCUUAG